UGAGAGUGAAGAUAUAAGAGGAAAUGAUCGAACUCAGCAACAAAUAGCCGUGCUAGCCAAAAAUGUGACAGCAAAAUAGUCUAUAAUUACCUGUGUGAGAGCAUCAUUCUGAAAGCGAAAGUUAAGUCGGUCGUUUAGUUGUUUAUAAAUAGGCUAGCUAGUGAGAAAGAGUCUCAAAGUGUAAUGAACUCAGACGGGGAACACAUACAGACCAGAGAAUCAAAACCAUGAAUGCUGUAAAUUCUGUGCAACUGUUCCUUCUGGUUUGGACUUUUACUGCUGUCUGUCGAGCUGAUGUUGAUGUCUGCAGUGUAAGCUGUGAGGAAGUGACUGGAACUGUGGGUGAAGAAGUAACUCUCACCUGCAGCGUCUCUCAGAAGAGCACUGAAUGCUGCAUUACAAUGUAUAAGUUUCAAUACCCUGAGAAAUAUAAAGACCAAGGAAAUCUGUAAACAAUAUCUUCCUGAGGACUCCUGUAAACAGAGAAACAGCUUCACAUGCAGAUACACUCCAACUACAGCAAUGACUGGGAAAUUCAGAUUCUAUUGGCAAACAAAGAGUGGAUGGAAAAAUCCAGAAUUCACUGUGAACAUAACAGAGGCCAGUAAACAUAAAACUGACACUGAAGCUCUUCGCA